CGUGUGGAUCAUCUACGUUACGUCCGCCUCUACCUCCACAGUCUGAAAUAAUAUCUGAUCUGAUCAUCAGACUUCGUGAAGCAGACGACAUAGCAAGCAAUCUGAGAAAUAAAUACGCAAAUGAGAGAAUCAUCAUUAAAGCCAUUAGAAGUCGGUUAGAUAAAAUGCAUUUGGAUGGUUUCCGAGUUGAAGAUGUUCAAGAAAAGAACGUUUCAUUGGCUAUUGAAAAUAUAACGGUUACACUCUUGGAAUCGUACACACAGUUAUCAACAGCUGCAAUUUUCCUGGAGCAGAUUAAAAUCAAUGAAAAAAAUCACGACCACGGCGCUUUUUCAACGGAUAUAAUUGACAUUGAAAACAAACUGUACGAUGUUCUCUGUCAUGUUCAUAUGGCCAUCGACCAAUCAGGUGCUGUCAUAAAAAAAUAUCAAUCACGUGAUAUCAUAUCUAUCCAAAUGCCGAUUAUGGACAGAAGAUCCAGAUAUUCAUGUGAUUACGUCAUAAUUAAGGAUAUCGUUUUAACAUUCAAAUCUUUACUUGUUUCUUACGAAGCCAUAAAAGCCAGUAUGUAGUGAAUAAUUUAUGAACUAUUAUAAACUCUCCGAGUUACGGAAUAUUUUAGUAGAUUAUAUUAAUCGAAUAUAAAAUAACUGUAUAAUGUGUAAAUAAAAAAUGUACUGUAAAUUAGACCAA